rnacentral:rRNA from 1 species
GACGGAGGGUGCUAGCGUUGCUCGGAAUCACUGGGCGUAAAGCGCACGUAGGCGGAUUGUUAAGUCAGGGGGUGAAAUCCUGGAGCUCAACUCCAGAACUGCCUUUGAUACUGGCGAUCUCGAGUCCGGGAGAGGUGAGUGGAACUGCGAGUGUAGAGGUGAAAUUCGUAGAUAUUCGCAAGAACACCAGUGGCGAAGGCGGCUCACUGGCCCGGUACUGACGCUGAGGUGCGAAAGCGUGGGGAGCAAACAGG